UGGACCUUUGCUUUCUUACCACUCUUUGCUUCAUGUUUGACACCCAGCAGCUCAUCAAAGCAGUGCAGGAGACUGCUCUGGGCAGCACUCCCACCAGAAUACUCCAUAGGCUCUGCCUGGACGCCCUCAUACACCAACCCAGCUGGCAUGGAGGAGUUGUCUUUCCACCUGACCAACACACAUACAGGAGAGGCCUUCACCUUAAUGGCUGGCACUGCAGCCAGCUCCACUAGCAGAGUGACCAUGAAGAACCCUCUCACACUGUCCCCACCAGGCAGCGUGACAAGCAGCUCCAAGUUCCUGGGAAAGCGAUGAAAACAACAACUAUCACCAAGGCCACAAUGACAGCUGGUCCAGAAUAUUCUUAAUAAGAAGGGUUGGUGAAAAACCUUGACUGUGUCAUCCUCUCCCUCCUGCCACACGUAACCCAUGGUCAUCACACUCAGGGCCAAGUGGGCCAGACGCAGCUCUCUGUGGCUCUCCAGGAAUUGGGUGUUCAGCAGGGGCAUCUGAGGGAGUCGGUAUAAAAAUGGAGGUGACACUACAGUCUAUCACGUACAAAUGUUAGUCAUUAUUAAUACACUAUGCUUGAAAUAUUACACAUUACCCAUUUUACUUUGUUAGAUAUUUAAAUGCUUCAGGCUAUGUAAUGAAUCAAUAAAAUGAAUGAUCUUCAUAAUCAAAUCAGA